CUUGGAUUUUACAUUUUUCGCGGGUGCACGAGCUUCAGUACAAUUUGCCAGCCACUUUAGUUUACUAGUCACCUGUGCAGAAAGCCCUACAUUUUUCUAUGAGAGAAACUUCUAAGAUGGUGCGUCUUUUUGUAAGGUAGAAGGGAUUUCUUAUUUUUCCUACAACAAAGAGAAGAAAGACAAAAGAAGAAAAGAAAUCAAACGUAUGAGGAAAAUAUUUCUGAGUCUUUUCACCCAAGGAGGCAUGCAUAUACGGAUUUAGGCUUUGACAACAAACAACCAAAUUGGUGGCUGGUGAAUUAGAAAGUUUCUGAGUGUAGGAUCUGAACGGAGAAUAGGAGUACUGCAUCCCAUCUGAUCCUGCAGAUAAGUGUUUAUUUGUUUACAAUGACAGUCGGGAUGGAAUGUCAAUGAGUUCAACUGUCGAGUAAAGUUACAUCAUCAUUAUCAUUAAAAAAACAACAACAACUGAACUUAGUCUUUAUUUUGAUGCACUGGCAGACAUUGAUAUCUUUUCUUGAAUGCAAAUGCAAUUAAUGUUUGAUUUACAAGACAGUCAAGAAAUGGAAGAAAUUGGUGUAGGUCAGAUGUGUAGGUGUAGGUCAGAUUAGAUAGAAUCCUGUUGUUGGGCAUGAGACCGGUCAAAAUAGUGUAUAAACAGCUGAUCACAGACAGAUCACUUGAAGGGUGGGGGAUUUCUUCCUUGGGGAUGACAGAUGACCCACUUUCAAGGUCAAACCUCAAAAACCCCAUGGGAGAGAAAGUGAUUUUGACCCUGACCUCAUUUUGAAGGUAAGAGAGGUCAUGGGGCUUCGUUUAAGUGAUCUCGCGUCUCUAUCUACAUCCGUGAAAAGGUUUUGGGCUCCAAUGACGACUUCGGAGACUUUCGGGGGCGAGAACUGUGCGAUAGUGUUUUAUCGUGAAUUCGUCGGCGAAGGUCUCGCCUCUCCACCACUUUCGGUCUAGUAGGAGUAGCGAUAACGGAGUUUUCAACGUUAAGUCGUCGAUAUUCGCAGAGUGGUCAAAGUUCAGAGUUGUAAUUCAUAAUACCGAGACCAGUCUAGAAUUCCAUGAUGACCCAUAUGGUAUUUCACUGCUAUCUGAAGGGGGAAGAGGGUAUAAAAAGUGUCAUUUUCUGGUCUUUCGGGAUGACUUUGACCUUGACCUAUUUUUCAAGGUCAAGGUCACCCAACCCGUUCCAAUCGGUUCGGUGUCUCUACGACGAAUACUUUAGGAGUCGACAAUUUCUUACGCAGAAACCGUAAAACAUGAGGGGUACUAACUUCCUGAAAGGGUCCUCGAAUCCUUUGGUUGAAUUCCCAUGUCAAUUGGACCAAGUCACCUCUAUGUUCUGGAAAACGUCAGAUGCUCCUAUCAUUCACGGUUUUCGAAAAGAACCGAUAACAAGGGUUUUUCGCGUAAAGUCCUCUAAGUUCGUUAAAGGUCAAAGUUCAGUUACGCAGGGUCAAAUCUGAGCAUGUUUUGAGAUGUCGAAAAGGAUGGUCUACAUUGAUUUUCGAUAAGUCUUAAGACUUAACACUUUUAAUCCAUCUGCUCCUAAUCAACUUCUGCUUGCAGAUGUUCUCAUAACAAUAAUAAUUAACUUUUUUAACUUCAAAGAACUUUUUUUUUCAUUACGUAAAAAUAUAAUGAAUGCAUUUAUAGUCAUUAAGACAUACACUAUUGGGAUUUAAUUAAUAACUGCUCUUAUCGGUUAUCAUACUGAUGAUCAGUUUAAAAAUAAAUUAGUUCACAACUAAAAUUACUGUGACAUAUUUUUAACAUCACAAUCAAGAUAUAUAAUUCAUAAAAAAUGUGCAGAAAUUCUGUCCCAACCAUUAAAUACUUUGGGCAAAAAAGACACAUUUGUGUUAAAUUUUGAGGGCAAUAAAGGUGGCAACAGAUUUUUUUAAUUCAAAAUGAUUUCAGGUAAUAUACACACUUUCUUCAAAAGGAGAUAGAUCUGAACUCGUAAUUGAUUUUAGUAACAUUGAUAGCAUACACAUAUAUAACUUGCACUACAAAAUUUGAUAGAUAAUGUUUUUGAAAUGUACCUUAAAUUUUUUCAGAAAAAUGUGAUGUUUUCUUUAAAAAAAAAGGGGGGUGGGGGUAUGGAACAAGUAGAAAAUUACUUAAUUGGCUUUAGACCUGGCAUGACAAUGACAAUGAACUUUAUUCUCAUAAACUGUAACUCAGUGCAGAGAAAAUACAUAUGUACAAGGUGUACAAACAAUAUAAUAGACAGCAUUUAAUAAUGCUUGAAGAAGGGAUUAUAAUUAACCAAGAGAGCCAACUCUCUCAAUUAUAUUAUCUAACAAUUUACAAAUUUUGCUAAGUUGAUUAAUAUUUGUCACAUUAAAACAACUUGUAAAGGUGAACUUUAAUGGGCUAGAAAUUGUGACUGCUGCUUAAUUCACAAGGCUAUGUAAUAAUACAAUUGUAAUUUAUAUCAGCAAUUAGACAACUAUGUAUACAUGAAUUUGGCAAUUCAAAAUUAGUGUAACUCAUCUAUUUGUUGUGUUUCCUAUUCAUUUUGAAGUCAAUUAAUUCUACUCAAAUAUGCCAUGAAAAGAUCAUGAAAUUUAUUUACUAAAAAGAUACAAUAAUUUAACAAGGUAGCUAUUAUGAUAUAUUCUGACACAAAUAUGACCAAAAAAAAAAAAACAAUGAUUUGAAAGUUUGUCCAGUCUAUUUGUUUCUGCAGUUAAAGGUUCAUUUAAUAUCCAAAUAUGUAACUGUAUUAUAUAUAUAUAUUAUAUUCUUAUUGAUAGAUGAAGAAGCUAGCAUAAUUCGACAAGGAGUCCGGUACCAGAAAAAAAUUCCAUGCAUUUAUUAUGAUUUUUUUAAAAAAAAAAAUAGGCCUCUACUACAUGGGUGUAUAUAUAUACUUUAGAUAUAAAUUUAGUAACUGUAAAAUUGUAACAUCUAACUCAAAUCUAUUCUGUACAUUGAUUUAUAUAGACAAUAAACUGUGAAGCCACUUACUGUCUAACAUCUUUUCUUGUUCGUCGUGGAGACUAAACUAAAUGUAAGUUAACUACUAGUAUACAUGAAGACGGGGUCGUGUCAAG